rnacentral:misc_RNA from 1 species
GAGAAAUUAUAGAAAGUUGAGCUGGCCGAAAGGCAUGUGCUUGCUUUCUAAUUAUCUAUCCAUACACCUGUGCACCUUUGGGGAGAAUGGCCAGCUAGCCUCUAGCGAGUUAUUCUCCUCGUUUUUACACAAACUCUUAUUAUAACAUUGAACGUGAUCUAGUGCCGCAAGGCCUUAAUCAAAUAUA